UACGAAGGGGCUAGCGUUGCUCGGAAUCACUGGGCGUAAAGGGUGCGUAGGCGGGUCUUUAAGUCAGGGGUGAAAUCCUGGAGCUCAACUCCAGAACUGCCUUGAUACUGAGGAUCUUGAGUUCGGGAGAGGUGAGUGGUAACUGCGAGUGUAGAGGUGAAAUUCGUAGAUAUUCGCAAGAACACCAGUGGCGAAGGCGGACUCACUGGCCCGAUACUGACGCUGAGGCACGAAAGCGUGGGGAGCAAACAGG
rnacentral:rRNA from 1 species